rnacentral:rRNA from 1 species
UACGGGGGGUGCGAGCGUUGUCCGGAAUCACUGGGCGUAAAGGGCGCGUAGGUGGUUUGAUAAGGGUGUGGUGAAAGUCCGGAGCUCAACUCCGGAUCUACCGUGCCGACUGUCAAACUCGAGGGCUGUAGAGGCAGACGGAAUUCCGGGUGUAGCGGUGGAAUGCGUAGAGAUCCGGAGGAAGACCGGUGGCGAAGGCGGUCUGCUGGGCAGUUUCUGACACUGAGGCGCGACAGCGUGGGGAGCAAACAGG